GACGAACGCUGGCGGCGUGCUUAACCCAUGCAAGUCGAACGGAAAGGCCCUGCUUUUGUGGGGUGCUCGAGUGGCGAACGGGUGAGUAACACGUGAGUAACCUGCCCUUGACUUUGGGAUAACUUCAGGAAACUGGGGCUAAUACCGGAUAUGAGCUCCUGCUGCAUGGUGGGGGUUGGAAAGUUUCGGCGGUUGGGGAUGGACUCGCGGCUUAUCAGCCUGUUGGUGGGGUAGUGGCUUACCAAGGCUUUGAAGGGUAGCCGGCCUGAGAGGGGGACCAGCCACAUGGGGACUGAGAUACGGCGCAGAAUGCUACGGGAGGCAGCAGUGGGGAACAUUGCACAAUGAGCGCAAGCCAGAUGCAGCAGCGCCGCGUGCGGGAUGACGGCCUUCGGGUUGUAAACCACUUUCGCCUGUGACGAAGCGUGAGUGACGGUAAUGGAUAAAGAAGCACCGGCUAACUACGUG
rnacentral:rRNA from 1 species